CGACUGGCGGCGUGCUAACACAUGCAAGUCGAACGAAGCGCUCGCCCGAAGAAGCGAAGUGCUUGCACGGAGUGGAUUCAAUGAGACGACUAGUGGCGGACGGGUGAGUAACGCGUGGGUAACCGUGCCGUAUGCAGGGGGACAACAGUUGGAAACGACUGCUAAUACCGCAUAAGCGCACGGAUCGGCAUCGAUCAGUGUGAAAAGAUUUAUCGGCAUACGAUGGACCCGCGUCUGAUUAGCUAGUUGGUGAGGUAACGGCCCACCAAGGCGACGAUCAGUAGCCGACCUGAGAGGGUGACCGGCCACAUUGGGACUGAGACACGGCCCAAACUCCUACGGGAGGCAGCAGUGGGGAAUAUUGCACAAUGGGCGCAAGCCUGAUGCAGCGAACCGCCGCGUGAGCGAUGAAGUAUUUCGGUAUGUAAAGCUCUAUCAGCAGGGAAGAUAAUGACGGUACCUGACUAAGAAGCUCCGGCUAAAUACGUGCCAGCCGCCGC
rnacentral:rRNA from 1 species